GAUGAACGCUGGCGGCGUGCCUAAUACAUGCAAGUCGAGCGAACGGACGAGAAGCUUGCUUCUCUGAUGUUAGCGGCGGACGGGUGAGUAACACGUGGAUAACCUACCUAUAAGACUGGGAUAACUUCGGGAAACCGUAGCUAAUACCGGAUAAUAUUUUGAACCGCAUGGUUCAAAAGUGAAAGACGGUCUUGCUGUCACUUAUAGAUGGAUCCGCGCUGCAUUAGCUAGUUGGUAAGGUAACGGCUUACCAAGGCAACGAUGCAUAGCCGACCUGAGAGGGUGAUCGGCCACACUGGAACUGAGACACGGUCCAGACUCCUACGGGAGGCAGCAGUAGGGAAUCUUCCGCAAUGGGCGAAAGCCUGACGGAGCAACGCCGCCUGAGUGAUGAAGGUCUUCGGAUCGUAAAACUCUGUUAUUAGGGAAGAACAUAUGUGUAAGUAACUGUGCACAUCUUGACGGUACCUAAUCAGAAAGCCACGGCUAACUACGU
rnacentral:rRNA from 1 species